AAAGUCGUAACAAGGUUUCCGUAGGUGAACCUGCGGAAGGAUCAUUACCGAGUUAGGGUCCUCAAAGGCCCGAUCUCCCAACCCUUUGCUUAUUAUACCUUGUGUUGCUUCGGUAGGUCUGGCUCGUCCUACCGGAGGACCGUAAAACGUCCUCUGGAGAGUGCCUACCGAUAGCCCAAACCAGAAACUCUUGAACAAAACAUGUCUUGUCUGAGUAAACAAAAAAAUUAAAGCAAAACUUUCAACAACGGAUCUCUUGGUUCUG
rnacentral:misc_RNA from 1 species